UGCCUUGGAGACGGCGACCCUCAACCCCUUGCUGCUGUGGUGCACUGGGCACAUCUGUGACGAGGAGGAGGCGAGCCACAAUUCAUCACCUUCCUCGUCUCUCUCAUGGCUGUGCACAAGGAUGUCCGCACCCCGAGCCGAGCUCUGUUUGACCGGAGGACAAGCAGAGGAAAGGCGAACAGGGGUGAUGACGUGGCUCCUGAGCAAGGUGAACAUCGCCUUUAAGGCGAGCGGUGGCGCCUUGCAGGUUGGAGUGCAGCUUUCAGAUAUCUUUCUUUCCUUGGGAUAGUUGGAAUGGAAUACUAUGACUAGAUAUACAAUGGUAUUGUUAUCAGUGUUCGGCCUUCAAUGAUUUCGGUGCAGCAUGUCUAGACCAUCAACGGCAAUUUGAGCUCCUUAGUGAAGUAGGUUUGUAAGGCGUUGCUUCAACUCAAGAAAAUCAAUGGCCACAAUUGGGAAGUUGACUGACAAUCCAAAGAGAGUGCCAAUUUUCAAUCUCGUGUUUAGGUGCUUACAUCAAUCUCGUGCAUAGUCUCGAUCACCACCACCGAGGCAGCUACUUCUGCUGGCAGGGGCUGGGCGCCGCCGUGAGGAUGCUAUCACCCAUGCACGCAGUGAUGGCAUGGUGGCCGAAGAAGGCCGUCUUCUGGGGAGUCGCGUGCUGGCCGCCAUCUCCACCCGCGGCCACACCAACAAGACAGGUGAUUUUAGGGUUGGUUCUGUCUGAAACCAAGCUAGCAGGUGAGCCAAAUCAAUCAUUUCACGGUUCUUAAACAGUACAUAACAUAAUGCUAAUUGUGUGUUUUUCAGUAAUAUACAGAGAAGGUUCGCCUGACAUAAUGACCAACGAGAGCAAGUUGUUUUUUCUUGAUGAAAAUGAUAGCUACCACUUGAUGAGAUUUAGCAAUACAAGCAUUUCCUCUAAUUUUAUUUGUAGCUAAUCCUUUAAGCUCCAAGGAAAUAGCUGAAUGUCACUACCAAAUUAAAUUACCUUUGUACAGAAAAUACGUGGAGUUAUGUGAUCUGCAAGUGAGCAGCUCUCUCACCAACGAGUUAAUAACAUUAAAAUAGGUAGCAGUACCAAUUUUUCCCAGUAAAAGUGAUUUUUUGUUUUCUUCAUUCAAUUAACCAUCGUUUUGAUCGAUGAUGCAUAAUAGAAAUAUGCAUUCCUUUACUGUUUUUUCUCCAUAAGAUCCUUUUAUCACUCAUUAAAAUUUUGCAAGUUCUUGCCAUACCCGAAGCUUCCAUUAUCGCUGACUUCGCCGGAAUGCCUGCACCCAUGUUCCAGGUCUGCAGGAGGUGCCUUUGAGAACUUGAUCAGCUACUCGAGCUUCAUUGUCAGCGAAGUCUCCACUGGGUUGCCCAGAUCUGUCCUGAAUUGCUUCAUUGAUGACAAUUUGGAGAAGGCUCCGCUGACACUUACAAAGGAUGUUUUCCUUUGUUGGAAAGACGAGGAUACGCUGGAGAUAGACAUGGGGUGGUAAGAAAAUGAUGAGUUCCUGAUGAUAUUAUGCUUGCUGGUCUAAACCUACAUGUAUUAUGUCAGUUUGUUGUUAAGAGUAUCUUGAAAAUAUAAAGCUACUGGGUGGCCAGGCAUUCUAUACUAUCGUCUUUCCAAGAGCCCACAUUUCUGCAUGUAUAUAUUUGUUGUACAGCCUAUGCUGGUUUGCCUACAAUAAUUAUCAGAAGGUAAUAUGCAGCAGCCAAA